AUUUCUUAACCCGUCCUGUGAUUUGUAUUAAAAAAUAAGGAUUAAAUCCGUAUUGAAGCGGCGGAUUAAUGAUAUUUUAAUCUUUUUAUUAUUGUUGAUUCAAAAACCCGUCCCGCCAAACCCAUCCCGCCAAAAAACUCAUUUAUUUUAUUAAUGUUCUUAUUUAUGAUAUGAUUCUGAAUCAUUGUCUAAAUAUUUUAAUCGAUGUAGAACGUUGAACACACAUUUUCGUCAAUUGGAUAAUAUAUGUCCGUUUUUAAAAUUUCGAAUCACAGUAUAUGCAGAAAAAAAUUGAUUUUUUUUUUUUACUUUAUGUAUUAUAUGAUGAUUCA
rnacentral:lncRNA from 1 species